rnacentral:rRNA from 1 species
UACAGAGGGUGCGAGCGUUGUUCGGAAUUAUUGGGCGUAAAGGGCGCGUAGGCGGCGCCACAAGUCACUUGUGAAAACUCUGGGCUCAACUCAGAGCCUGCAAGCGAAACUGUGGUGCUGGAGUAUGGGAGAGGUGCGUGGAAUUCCCGGUGUAGCGGUGAAAUGCGUAGAUAUCGGAAGGAACAUCAGUGGCGAAAGCGACUUCCUGGACCAGUACCGACGUUCAGGCACGAAAGCGUGGGGAGCAAACAGG